rnacentral:rRNA from 1 species
GAUCAGCCGGUACUCCGAAUGCACUUAGGAUUUAAGUUUGAUCAUGGCUCAGACGAACGCUGUGACGGCAGGCCUAACACAUGCAAGUCGAACGGUAGCACAGAGAGCUUGCUCUCGGGUGACGAGUGGCGGACGGGUGAGUAAUGUCUGGGAAACUGCCCGAUGGAGGGGGAUAACUACUGGAAACGGUAGCUAAUACCGCAUAACGUCUUCGGACCAAAGUGGGGGACCUUCGGGCCUCACACCAUCGGAUGUGCCCAGAUGGGAUUAGCUAGUAGGUGGGGUAAUGGCUCACCUAGGCGACGAUCCCUAGCUGGUCUGAGAGGAUGACCAGCCACACUGGAACUGAGACACGGUCCAGACUCCUACGGGAGGCAGCAGUGGGGAAUAUUGCACAAUGGGCGCAAGCCUGAUGCAGCCAUGCCGCGUGUAUGAAGAAGGCCCUCGGGUUGUAAAGUACUUUCAGCGGGGAGGAAGUGCGAUGUGGUUAAUAACCGCAUCGAUUGACGUUACCCGCAGAAGAAGCACCGGCUAACUCCGUGCCAGCAGCCGCGGUAAUACGGAGGGUGCAAGCGUUUAAUCGGAAUUACUGGGCGUUAAGCGCACGCAGGCGGUCNUGUCCAAGUCCGNAUGUUGAAAUCCCCNGGGCUCAAACCCUUGGGAAACUNGCUUCGAAACUUGGCAUNGCUAGAGGUCUUGUAGAAGGGGGUAACGAAUACCCACGU